rnacentral:rRNA from 1 species
UGCAGUCGAGGGGUAUAGUUCUUCGGAACUAGAGACCGGCGCACGGGUGCGUAACGCGUAUGCAAUCUACCUUUUACAGAGGGAUAGCCCAGAGAAAUUUGGAUUAAUACCUCAUAGUAUAUAGCCCUGGCAUCAGGAUUAUAUUAAAGUCACAACGGUAAAAGAUGAGCAUGCGUCCCAUUAGCUAGUUGGUAAGGUAACGGCUUACCAAGGCUACGAUGGGUAGGGGUCCUGAGAGGGAGAUCCCCCACACUGGUACUGAGACACGGACCAGACUCCUACGGGAGGCAGCAGUGAGGAAUAUUGGACAAUGGGCGCAAGCCUGAUCCAGCCAUGCCGCGUGCAGGAUGACGGUCCUAUGGAUUGUAAACUGCUUUUAUACGAGAAGAAACACUCCUUCGUGAAGGAGCUUGACGGUAUCGUAAGAAUAAGGAUCGGCUAACUCCGUGCCAGCAGCCGCGGUAAUACGGAGGAUCCAAGCGUUAUCCGGAAUCAUUGGGUUUAAAGGGUCCGUAGGCGGUUUAAUAAGUCAGUGGUGAAAGCCCAUCGCUCAACGGUGGAACGGCCAUUGAUACUGUUAGACUUGAAUUAUUAGGAAGUAACUAGAAUAUGUAGUGUAGCGGUGAAAUGCUUAGAGAUUACAUGGAAUACCAAUUGCGAAGGCAGGUUACUACUAAUUGAUUGACGCUGAUGGACGAAAGCGUGGGUAGCGAACAGGAUUAGAUACCCUGGUAGUCCACGCCGUAAACGAUGGAUACUAGCUGUUGGAAGCAAUUUCAGUGGCUAAGCGAAGGUGAUAAGUAUCCCACCUGGGGAGUACGUUCGCAAGAAUGAAACUCAAAGGAAUUGACGGGGGCCCGCACAAGCGGU